AGCCGCGGUAACACCGGCGGCCCGAGUGGUGAUCGUGAUUAUUGGGUCUAAAGGGUCCGUAGCCGGUUUGGUCAGUCCUCCGGGAAAUCUGAUAGCUCAACUAUUAGGCUUUCGGGGGAUACUGCCAGACUUGGAACCGGGAGAGGUAAGAGGUACUACAGGGGUAGGAGUGAAAUCUUGUAAUCCCUGUGGGACCACCUGUGGCGAAGGCGUCUACCAGAACGGGUUCGACGGUGAGGGACGAAGCUGGGGGCACGAACCGGAUUAGAUACCCGGGUAGUCCCAGCCGUAAACGAUGCUCGCUAGGUGUCAGGCAUGGCGCGACCGUGUCUGGUGCCGCAGGGAAGCCGUGAAGCGAGCCACCUGGGAAGUACGGCCGCAAGGCUGAAACUUAAAGGAAUUGGGCGGGGGAGCACAACAACGGGUGGAAGCCUGCGGUUUAAUUGGACUCAACGCCGGACAACUCACCGGGGGCGACAGCAAUAUGUAGGCCAAGCUGAAGACUUUGCCUGAAUCGCUGAGAAGUGGUGCAUGG
rnacentral:rRNA from 1 species